rnacentral:rRNA from 1 species
GACGUAGGGCGCGAGCGUGUCGGAUUUAUUGGGCGUAAAGAGCUCGUAGGCGGCUUGUUGCGUCAGCUGUGAAAACCCGCAGCUCAACUGUGGGCUUGCAGCUGAUACGGGCAGGCUUGAGUUCGGUAGGGGAGACUGGAAUUCCUGGAUGUAGCGGUGAAAUGACGUAGAUAUGCGGAGGAACACCGAUGGCGAAGGCAAUCCCUGGACCUGGUACUGACG